CGGGGAGUACCUCAGCCUGGCAGAGGGGUGUCUUUGGGUGGCACACGCCGUGGGUUCGAAUCCCAUCUCCCCGACCA
rnacentral:tRNA from 1 species